rnacentral:snoRNA from 1 species
GUACUAUGAUGGUUGCAUAGUUCAAUAGAGUGAAUCAUCAAGGAGGUAACAUUGGCCUGAUGUAUCU